rnacentral:rRNA from 1 species
UACGGGGGGGGGCAAGCGUUGUUCGGAAUUACUGGGCGUAAAGGGCUCGUAGGCGGCCAACUAAGUCAUACGUGAAAUCCCUCGGCUUAACCGGGGAACUGCGUCUGAUACUGGAUGGCUUGAGUUUGGGAGAGGGAUGCGGAAUUCCAGGUGUAGCGGUGAAAUGCGUAGAUAUCUGGAGGAACACCGGUGGCGAAGGCGGCAUCCUGGACCAACACUGACACUGAGGAGCGAAAGCCAGGGGAGCAAACGGG